rnacentral:misc_RNA from 1 species
CAGCGCUUUGCUGCCUUCUCCGAAGCGCUCGGCGACCGCUUCGUUGCGCGGGUGCUUCCUGACAGCGCGGCCAAUACGGAAUUGCCACCGUUCUUUGCAACCCNNUGUCACGUCUCCUCACAGCGUGGUGACCGCUCAUCUCAUCGACGAGGCAGGGCAGCCGACCAUUGCCGCGCGUGAUGAAAUCCUGUCGUUCUUUGCUCACCGGCUCAAUUCAUGAA